CUUGUUUAUAAAACAUAUUCAGAUUUUUAGUGGGGAGAUGGUAGGAAGUUGUUAGCUCCUUGUGAGAAGAGUUUCUCUGCUUAUUAUGUUACAUCAUUUUUUGCUAUUGUUGUUUCUCGGUCCUGCUUUAAAAAAAAAAAAAAAAAAGAAAGGCAAAUAAGUAUAGGAACAGUAAAAACUUCCUGUAUGUUCAUGAAAGAAAUAUGUCCUUUGUUUAGUUCUUUUGCACAUUUGACCAAGUAUGAUUUUUCCUCUUUUUUAAUCUUAAGCAUCAUUUAAUUUGGAAGAAACUUUUAACAUUUUCUGAAAUAUAAUUGCAAGAAAACUAUUUCUUGCUGGAAACUUUAUAAACCCUUUAUUUCUCUAAGGAGAAAACUGGGUUGAUAUUUUCCAUCCCUCACAUGCCUGUGAUGAGAUAACUGACAGCAGCUGUUGGAGUGGGACAGGUACUAGAGGCAGCUUCCAUCAGCCCAGCUGGGCUGGGGCUGCUGCUGGAGCUCUGGGUAUUCAGAGUGGGCUGGCAGCUGGCUGGGUCAGGAGCUGUGCUAGUGCAUGCAGGUACACUUGAAAACAAUCCAAGAAAAUGAUGAGGGUUUGCUUCUGAUGUAAUGACGUAUCCCCCUGACAUCACAGUGAAGAAUGAAUGUUUCUCCCUACAAAAAUCACAGAGCUAUAAGAACACAUUUGGGAGGAAGGAAAGGGGGAAGGAAAAAAGAAAACGAUACACAAACACAUUUGAAAACUACAGCUACUUCAGUGAAAAAGUAACCAAAAAUGUCUUGGCUGAAAUCAGGCACUGCCCGUGGCCCUCCCGUGCUCCCAGGACACAGCCCUCCAGGGCAUGGGAUCAUUCUGCUCAGGGCUGCUGUUUCAAUAGAGCUCCGUUCUCGGCCUCGUCAUUUAAGUUCCCCAUUUAAUUUAUAUAUAAAAAAUUCAACAGGUUUAAUGUUCCAGUUUCUCAUUCUUUUAAUUAAAAUGGAAAAUAUGCCCCUUUGUGUACCUCUUCAAGUACUGAAGAUUUGAGCCAUCUAAGACAGCUGUAAAGAAGAUUUUGCAGAACUUUGUGUUUCUGUCUUGUUCCUUAAGAUACACUGGACAAAAGAGAGAUGAUAAACUUUAAAUGUUGAAUUUAUUAGAAGCAUAACGAACAAUAAUAAACUUGAUUUUACCAAGGCA
rnacentral:lncRNA from 1 species